rnacentral:rRNA from 1 species
CCGGUACAACGGGGUGCGACACGGUGACGUGGGGCGGAUCCCUGAAAACCGGUCUCAGUUCGGAUCGCAGUCUGCAACUCGACUGCGUGAAGGUGGAGUCGCUAGUAAUCGCGGAUCAGCAACGCCGCGGUGAAUGCGUUCCCGGGCCUUGUACACACCGCCCGUCAAGUCAUGAAAGUGGGCAGCACCCGAAGACGGUGGCCUAACCCUUGUGGGGGGAGCCGUCUAAGGUGAGGCUCGUGAUUGGGACUAAGUCGUAACAAGGUAAC